UGGAGGAGAAGGAAGGUGAUG
rnacentral:miRNA from 3 species